UACGGGGGGGGGCAAGCGUUGUUCGGAAUUACUGGGCGUAAAGCGUGCGCAGGCGGCUUUGCAAGACAGAUGUGAAAUCCCCGGGCUCAACCUGGGAACCGCAUUUGUGACUGCAGGGCUAGAGUACGGUAGAGGGGGAUGGGAAUUCCGCGUGUAGCAGUGAAAUGCGUAGAUAUGCGGAGGAACACCGAUGGCGAAGGCAAUCCCCUGGACCUGUACUGACGCUCAGGCACGAAAGGCGUGGGGAGCAAACAGG
rnacentral:rRNA from 1 species